rnacentral:rRNA from 1 species
AUGGAGCAGUACCUGCUGGACAACUUCGACCUGCCGGCCAAGAACCCCUCCGAGGAGGCGCAGCGGCGGUGGCGCUCCGCCGUCGGGAGUCUCGUCGUCAAGAACCGCCGCCGCCGCUUCCGCCACGUGCCCGACCUCGACCAGCGUCACCAGGACCACGCCAAGCGCCGCUCCGUCCAGGAAAAAAUUCGGGUUGCCCUCUAUGUGCAGCAGGCUGCAAUCACUUUCAUUGGUGGCGCCAAGAAGAAUGAGUACCAGCUAACAGAUUAUAUAAUCAAAGCUGGGUUUUCCAUCAAUCCCGAAGAACUGGCAUCAAUAACAAGCAAGCAUGACUUGAAAGCUUUAAAGAUGCAUGGUGGGGUAGAUGGGAUAUCCAAAAAAGUUCGCACAACAUUCGACCGUGGUGUAUGUGCUACUGACUUGGAUACAAGACAAAGCAUAUAUGGUGUCAAUCGCUACGCUGAAAAGCCUUCAAGAAGUUUCUGGAUGUUUGUUUGGGAUGCAUUGCAAGACACGACUCUUAUCAUUCUGAUGGUAUGUGCUUUGUUAUCUGUUGUAGUUGGCCUGGCAUCUGAAGGUUGGCCCAAGGGCAUGUAUGAUGGCUUGGGGAUAAUACUCAGCAUUCUCUUAGUUGUGAUGGUUACUGCUGCCAGUGACUAUAAGCAAUCGCUCCAGUUUAAGGAGCUAGAUAAUGAAAAGAAAAACAUAUUUAUCCAUGUAACCAGAGAUGGCGGUCGACAGAAGAUCUCGAUAUUUGACUUGGUAGUUGGUGAUAUUGUGCAUUUAUCAAUUGGGGACCAAGUGCCUGCUGAUGGACUGUUUAUACAUGGGUACUCCCUUCUGAUUGAUGAAUCCAGCUUAUCAGGUGAGAGUGAGCCAGUGUAUACUUCUCAAGAUAAACCAUUCAUAUUGGCAGGAACUAAAGUGCAAGAUGGUUCUGCUAAGAUGAUAGUAACAGCUGUCGGUAUGCGCACUGAAUGGGGAAGGCUGAUGAGCACUUUGAGUGAGGGAGGAGAGGAUGAGACACCAUUGCAGGUUAAGCUAAAUGGAGUUGCGACCAUCAUAGGAAAGAUUGGCCUGGUAUUUGCCACAUUAACAUUUGUAGUCCUGAUGACUAGAUUCCUUAUUGACAAAGGUUUGACAGUUGGUUUGUCCAACUGGUAUUCAACUGAUGCCUUGACUAUAGUGAACUACUUUGCAACAGCGGUCACUAUUAUUGUUGUUGCUGUUCCCGAAGGGUUGCCGUUGGCUGUUACUUUGAGCCUUGCAUUUGCAAUGAAGAAGCUAAUGAAUGACAAAGCGCUUGUUAGACACCUUGCAGCAUGUGAAACAAUGGGAUCUGCUGGUACCAUAUGCACAGACAAGACAGGAACUUUGACUACUAACCAUAUGGUGGUUGACAAAAUCUGGAUAGCCGAGGUUUCAAAGUCGGUUACAAGUAACAGUAGUUUGGAAGAACUGAAUUCUGCGAUUUCUUCAAGCGCAUGGAGCCUACUUUUGCAGGGCAUUUUUGAGAACACUAGUGCAGAGGUUGUCAAAGGAAAUGAUGAUAAACAAACUGUUUUGGGCACUCCAACAGAAAUAGCAAUAUUUGAAUAUGGCUUGAGCUUGCAAGGAUAUCGUGAUGCUGAGGAUAGGAGCUGCACCAAGGUUAAGGUUGAGCCUUUCAAUUCGGUCAAGAAGAAGAUGGCAGUAUUGGUUUCUUUACCUGGUGGGGGACACCGUUGGUUUUGCAAAGGUGCAUCAGAAAUUAUUGUUGAGAUGUGUGACAAAGUGAUUGAUCAAGAUGGAGAUGUUAUUCCCUUAUCAGACGAUCGGAGAAAGAACAUCACGGAUACUAUCAACUCAUUUGCUUCAGAUGCUUUAAGGACAUUGUGCUUAGCAUUUAAGGAUGUGGAUGAAUUUGAUGAGAAUGCAGAUAGCCCUCCUAAUGGUUUUACUCUGAUAAUCAUAUUUGGCAUUAAGGAUCCUGUGCGCCCUGGAGUGAAGGAAGCUGUUCAGAGCUGCAUAACUGCUGGCAUCAUUGUGAGAAUGGUGACUGGUGAUAAUAUCAAUACAGCUAAAGCUAUUGCCAAAGAAUGUGGCAUAUUGACUGAUGAUGGCAUAGCAAUAGAAGGACCAGAUUUUCGUAACAAAAGCCCAGAAGAAAUGAGGGACUUGAUACCUAAGAUUCAGGUCAUGGCCCGUUCGUUACCAUUGGACAAACAUUUGCUCGUGACAAACUUGAGAGGUAUGUUCCAAGAGGUGGUUGCUGUGACAGGUGAUGGUACAAAUGAUGCUCCUGCAUUACACGAAGCAGAUAUUGGGCUUGCUAUGGGCAUUGCAGGCACAGAGGUUGCGAAGGAGAGUGCUGAUGUCAUAGUACUUGACGACAACUUCACAACUAUAAUAAACGUCGCAAGGUGGGGUCGUGCGGUUUACAUAAACAUCCAGAAGUUCGUGCAGUUUCAGUUGACCGUGAACAUUGUUGCUUUGGUGAUCAACUUUGUCUCAGCGUGCAUCACAGGGAGUGCUCCUCUCACUGCUGUGCAGCUGCUGUGGGUGAACAUGAUUAUGGACACAUUAGGGGCUUUAGCUCUGGCAACUGAGCCUCCAAAUGAUGAAAUGAUGAAGAGGCCGCCUACUGGGCGAGGGGAAAGCUUCAUCACCAAGGUCAUGUGGAGAAACAUCAUUGGGCAAAGUAUAUACCAGCUGGUUGUGCUUGGCGUUCUCAUGUUCGCCGGGGAAAAUCUUCUGAACAUCAAGGGCCCAGAUUCCAAGACCGUUCUCAACACGCUUAUAUUCAACUCCUUUGUGUUUUGCCAGGUAUUCAACGAAGUGAACAGCAGGGAAAUGGAGAAGAUCAACAUUUUCCGCGGUCUCAUUGGCAAUUGGGUCUUCCUCGGGGUAAUAAGCGUGACGGUGGUAUUCCAGGUGGUGAUCAUCGAGUUUCUGGGCACUUUUGCAAGUACUGUUCCACUCAGCUGGCAAUUCUGGUUGGUGAGCGUGGGUCUUGGAUCCAUCAGCUUGAUUAUUGGAGCUAUCUUGAAGUGCAUUCCGGUUAAAUCGGGUGAGAUCUCUGGAAGUCCGAAUGGUUACAAGCCGCUCGCCAACGGCCCUGAUGACAUAUAG